rnacentral:rRNA from 1 species
GAUGAACGCUAGCGGCAGGCUUAACACGUGCAAGUCGAGGGGUAUUGGUUUUCGGACCAAGAGACCGGCGCACGGGUGCGUAACGCGUAUGCAAUCUACCUUUUGCAGAGGGAUAGCCCCAGAGAAAUUUGGAUUAAUACCUCAUAGUAUAGUACUUUGGCAUCAAGGAACUAUUAAAGUCACAACGGCAAAAGAUGAGCAUGCGUCCCAUUAGCUAGUUGGUAAGGUAACGGCUUACCAAGGCUACGAUGGGUAGGGGUCCUGAGAGGGAGAUCCCCCACACUGGUACUGAGACACGGACCAGACUCCUACGGGAGGCAGCAGUGAGGAAUAUUGGACAAUGGGCGCAAGCCUGAUCCAGCCAUGCCGCGUGCAGGAUGACGGUCCUAUGGAUUGUAAACUGCUUUUAUACAGGAAGAAACCCUCCCACGUGUGGGAGCUUGACGGUACUGUAGGAAUAAGGAUCGGCUAACUCCGU